GCGGAAGUAGUUCAGUGGUAGAACAUCACCUUGCCAAGGUGGGGGUCGCGGGUUCGAACCCCGUCUUCUGCU
rnacentral:tRNA from 1 species